AAGUACCCCGAGGAAAAGAAAUCAACCGAGAUUCCCCCAGUAGCGGCGAGCGAACGGGGAGCAGCCCAGAGCCUGAAUCAGUGUGUGUGUUAGUGGAAGCGUCUGGAAAGGCGCGCGAUACAGGGUGACAGCCCCGUACACAAAAAUGCACAUGCUGUGAGCUCGAUGAGUAGGGCGGGACACGUGGUAUCCUGUCUGAAUAUGGGGGGACCAUCCUCCAAGGCUAAAUACUCCUGACUGACCGAUAGUGAACCAGUACCGUGAGGGAAAGGCGAAAAGAACCCCGGCGAGGGGAGUGAAAAAGAACCUGAAACCGUGUACGUACAAGCAGUGGGAGCACGCUUAGGCGUGUGACUGCGUACCUUUUGUAUAAUGGGUCAGCGACUUAUAUUCUGUAGCAAGGUUAACCGAAUAGGGGAGCCGAAGGGAAACCGAGUCUUAACUGGGCGUUAAGUUGCAGGGUAUAGACCCGAAACCCGGUGAUCUAGCCAUGGGCAGGUUGAAGGUUGGGUAACACUAACUGGAGGACCGAACCGACUAAUGUUGAAAAAUUAGCGGAUGACUUGUGGCUGGGGGUGAAAGGCCAAUCAAACCGGGAGAUAGCUGGUUCUCCCCGAAAGCUAUUUAGGUAGCGCCUCGUGAAUUCAUCUCCGGGGGUAGAGCACUGUUUCGGCAAGGGGGUCAUCCCGACUUACCAACCCGAUGCAAACUGCGAAUACCGGAGAAUGUUAUCACGGGAGACACACGGCGGGUGCUAACGUCCGUCGUGAAGAGGGAAACAACCCAGACCGCCAGCUAAGGUCCCAAAGUCAUGGUUAAGUGGGAAACGAUGUGGGAAGGCCCAGACAGCCAGGAUGUUGGCUUAGAAGCAGCCAUCAUUUAAAGAAAGCGUAAUAGCUCACUGGUCGAGUCGGCCUGCGCGGAAGAUGUAACGGGGCUAAACCAUGCACCGAAGCUGCGGCAGCGACGCUUAUGCGUUGUUGGGUA
rnacentral:rRNA from 1 species